GAGUUUGAUCAUGGCUCAGGAUGAACGCUAGCGAUAGGCUUAACGCAUGCAAGUCGAGGGGCAGCAUAAAGUCAGCUUGCUGAUUUGGAUGGCGACCGGCGGAUGGGUGCGUAACGCGUAUGCAACUUACCUGUCAGAGGGGGAUAACCCGGAGAAAUUCGGACUAAUACCGCAUAUACUUGAGAUGCUGCAUGGUAUUUCAAGGAAAUAUUUAUAGCUGACAGAUAGGCAUGCGUUCUAUUAGCUGGUAGGUGAGGUAACGGCUCACCUAGGCGACGAUGGAUAGGGGAACUGAGAGGUUAAACCCCCACACUGGUACUGAGACACGGACCAGACUCCUACGGGAGGCAGCAGUGAGGAAUAUUGGUCAAUGGGCGAGAGCCUGAACCAGCCAAUUCGCGUGAAGGAUGACUGCCCUAUGGGUUGUAAACUUCUUUAGUAGGGGAUUAAAGUUUGCCUUGCGAGGCAAUUUGCAA
rnacentral:rRNA from 1 species